AACGCGAAGAACCUUACCAGGUCUUGACAUCCCGCCGACCGCCUAGGAGACUGGGCCUUCCCUUCGGGGACGGCGGUGACAGGUGGUGCAUGGUUGUCGUCAGCUCGUGUCGUGAGAUGUUGGGUUAAGUCCCGCAACGAGCGCAACCCUUGAUCUUAGUUGCCAGCAUUCAGUUGGGCACUCUAAGGUGACUGCCGGUGACAAACCGGAGGAAGGUGGGGAUGACGUCAAAUCAUCAUGCCCCUUAUGAGUUGGGCUACACACGUGCUACAAUGGACGGUACAAAGGGCGGCGAAGCCGCGAGGUGGAGCCAAUCCCAGAAAGCCGUUCUCAGUUCGGAUUGCAGGCUGCAACUCGCCUGCAUGAAGUCGGAAUCGCUAGUAAUCGCAGGUCAGCAUACUGCGGUGAAUACGUUCCCGGGUCUUGUACACACCG
rnacentral:rRNA from 1 species